rnacentral:rRNA from 1 species
UACGUAGGGGGCAAGCGUUGUCCGGAUUUAUUGGGCGUAAAGAGCUCGUAGGCGGCUUUGUCAGUCGGGUGUGAAACCUCCAGGCUCAACCUGGAGCCGCCACCCGAUACUGCAAUAGCUAGAGUCCGGUAGGGGAGCAUGGAACUCCUGGUGUAGCGGUGAAAUGCGCAGAUAUCAGGAAGAACACCAGUGGCGAAGGCGGUGCUCUGGGCCGGAACUGACGCUGAGGAGCGAAAGCGUGGGGAGCAAACAGG